rnacentral:misc_RNA from 1 species
AACGCACAUUGCACUCCUUGGUAUUCCGAGGAGUAUGCCUGUUUCAGUAUCAUGAGCACUCUCACAACUAACCUUUGGGUGAAAUUGUGGAAUUGGAAUGCGCUGAUUGUAAUAACCAGCCCUUCUAAAAUAUAUUUCAUGACUGUCACCUAACACAGCAGUUUGGCCUAAUAGUUUUGACAUUGAUUUGUCAAAUCUUUGGCUUACAUUUGCUUCAGGUUGUCAGUUUUGAUAAUACAGAAAACUCAUUCAAAUUUUGAUCUGAAAUCAGGUAGGGCUACCCGCUGAACUUAA